rnacentral:rRNA from 1 species
GAUGAACGCUAGCGGCAGGCCUAACACAUGCAAGUCGAGGGGUAGAGGUUGCUUGCAACCUUGAGACCGGCGCACGGGUGCGUAACGCGUAUGCAAUCUGCCUUGUACUGAGGGAUAGCCCAGAGAAAUUUGGAUUAAUACCUCAUAGUAUCUUUUCCCGGCAUCGGGAGAUUAUUAAAGUUCCAACGGCACAAGAUGAGCAUGCGUCCCAUUAGCUAGUUGGUAUGGUAACGGCAUACCAAGGCAAUGAUGGGUAGGGGUCCUGAGAGGGAGAUCCCCCACACUGGUACUGAGACACGGACCAGACUCCUACGGGAGGCAGCAGUGAGGAAUAUUGGUCAAUGGGCGCAAGCCUGAACCAGCCAUGCCGCGUGCAGGAUGAAGCAUCUAUGGUGUGUAAACUGCUUUUAUACGGGAAGAAACACCGGAUCGUGAACCGGCUUGACGGUACCGUAAGAAUAAGGAUCGGCUAACUCCGUGCCAGCAGCCGCAGUAA